GACGAACGCUGGCGGUGUGCUUAACACAUGCAAGUCGAACGGUAAGGCCCUUUCGGGGUUCCCCUAGUGGCGACCGGGGGAGUAACACGUGAGUAACCUGCCCUCAUCUCUUGGAUAACAGUCGGAACGGGUGGCUAAUACUGCAUAUGAGCUUGCAAUGCAUCUGGUGGGUUGGAAAGAUUUUUUUUGGUUGGGGAUUGACUCGCGGCGUAUCCGCUUUUUGGUGGGGUAGUGGCUCACCAAGGCUUCGACGGGGAGCCGGCCUGAGAGGGCGACGGGCCACAUUGGGACUGAGAGACGGGCAAAACUCCUACGGGUGGCAGCAGUGGGGAAUAUUGCACAAUGGACGGACGUCUGAGGCAGCAACGCCGCGUGCGGGAUGACGGCCUUUGGGUUGUAAAAAGCUUUCAAUUGUGACGAAGCGUUUUUGUGACGGUAGCAGUAGAAGAAGCACCGGCUAACUACGUG
rnacentral:rRNA from 1 species